AUUGAACGCUGGCGGCGUGCCUAACACAUGCAAGUCGAGCGGUAACAGGUGUAGCAAUACAUGCUGACGAGCGGCGAACGGGUGAGUAAUGCUUCGGAAUCUACCCAAUGGUGGGAAUAACCAGCCGAAAGGUUGGCUAAUACCGCAUACGUCCCACGGGAGAAAGCAGGGGAUCGCAAGACCUUGCGCCAAUGGAUGAGCCGAAGUCGGAUUAGCUAGUUGGAGGGUAACGGCCUACCAAGGCGACGAUCCGUAGCUGGUCUGAGAGGACGACCAGCCACACUGGGACU
rnacentral:rRNA from 1 species